rnacentral:rRNA from 1 species
GAUGAACGCUGGCGGCGUGCCUAAUACAUGCAAGUCGAGCGAACAGACGAGGAGCUUGCUCCUCUGACGUUAGCGGCGGACGGGUGAGUAACACGUGGAUAACCUACCUAUAAGACUGGGAUAACUUCGGGAAACCGGAGCUAAUACCGGAUAAUAUAUUGAACCGUAUGGUUCAAUAGUGAAAGACGGGUUUGCUGUCACUUAUAGAUGGAUCCGCGCCGCAUUAGCUAGUUGGUAAGGUAACGGCUUACCAAGGCAACGAUGCGUAGCCGACCUGAGAGGGUGAUCGGCCACACUGGAACUGAGACACGGUCCAGACUCCUACGGGAGGCAGCAGUAGGGAAUCUUCCGCAAUGGGCGAAAGCCUGACGGAGCAACGCCGCGUGAGUGAUGAAGGUCUUCGGAUCGUAAAACUCUGUUAUUAGGGAAGAACAAAUGUGUAAGUAACUAUGCACGUCUUGACGGUACCUAAUCAGAAAGCCACGGCUAACUACGUG